UUAAUAUCUUUUUCUUUUGUUUUUAACCGAUAUAUUACCAUAGUUUCCAUUAUCUUUUAUAACCUUUUUUUAAGAAAAGUAAUUUCAAUACAAAAAGUGUUCGUAGAGUGCCAAAAUAAAAUUAAUAGGCCUAUUCCGAUCGUCACCUGAAAGUCCUACUUACUCCAGUUUUAGUAUAGAAACUGUUUUUCUUUUUAAUUUAUGCAAAUUUAAUUCAAAAGUUACUUUCAAAGUGAAGGGUAGGCUAUUGUUAAAAAUUCCAUUAAUAACGCCACCUCAUGGUAUUUAACCUAACAAUAUUUACAACCAAAAAAUUUUCGACAACGACUAUUUAUUACGCAAUAUUAUCAUAAUAUUGAACAAUAAAAAAACCAUUCCGUCAAUCAUCUUGCUGUCUUUUGUUAUCAGUGCUUCUGAGUAGAAAGAAACUAUUUAGAUUAGGCCUACAGUAGCUGAAUAUACUGAAUGGAUUCAACUACCCAAAUAAUUCGAUCAAGCUGAAAAGCAAGUUAAAUCUUGUUAAUUAGAGUAUUUUUUUUAUUUAGAUUUUUAAUAGCUUUUUUUUUGGUUCUGUUUAUUUUUUUUAAUAUUAGAAAUUCACUAUCGUAGUACUUAAAUUGUACAGUAUUACCUUACGUUUCUCCUCCUCCUCCUCCUCCUCCUUCUCCUCUGCCUUCUCUUCUCCAUUUCAUUAAACCCUUUUAAAAAUAUCUGCUCUAGGUAUUCUAAUAUCGUUUAUAGUUUAUGAAUACUUGAUAUUGAUUUGAACGACUUUUUUGUUGUUGAUGUUCUUUCCUACUACUCUUUAUUCUUCAACCAAUAUUACUUGACAUUUUUGUCCUAUUUUUCUGUAUACAUAUUCUAUACCGUUAUAGGAUUAACAUUGUAAAAAAGGAGAUAUACUAAUUUUAUAGAUUUAAUAAUUUAGACUUUAAUUAAAUACGAAAAUAAUUAUAAUUAUUUGUUUGAAUAGAGCCAGUUAUUAAACUAUUAUACUCGGUAAGGAUCUAAAAAUACAAUAGAAAUAAUACAUAGUUCGAUAAUAUCCUGAAGAAUAGUAAGGGUUUUUUUUUGAAUUUGUCAAACUGUACUAUUAUUUAUUUAUAUUAGGAUGUUGUCAGUGUUUUUUUGUGUGUGAAAUGGAAGCGUCUCUUAUUAAUUUUUGUUUGACAUAAUAAAAUUAUUAAGGAAUUAGGCAAUUUAUCUUGACAAUAAUAGUACUUAAUUGAAAUACCAAAGGACAUUUCGGGAAAUGGCUGGUAGAGGUUCUGUUUAAACUAUUGUACUGCUUUCCUGACACAUAUUUUUUUGAAUUAUAAAGAUUAAUUAAUGAAAGAAGGUUCAUAUGAAAUAUAUUUCAAAAAAAGCAUAAUUAAGUUCAACAUCAAAGUAGGCUGAACAUUUCAUCAAAGUAUGUUUGCAUCGACAAUUACCAAAGAAUAGAAUCCUGUUUGCUGUCUAGGAUAGAUAGUGCAAUUUACGUCGGUAGUCUAUAUGCUAGAAAGAGUUAUUGGAUCAUUAUCUUCCGCCAUCCUUUCUGAUAGAAAACGAAGAGAAACUACAAAGUCUUUUUAUUUAUGGAUUAAAAUUCGUUUAAACAAAUGCUUUCUCACAAUUAAGUAACAUUUUGUUUGGAUCGUAUUCUAUUAGAUGUCAUAGCUGCAGGAAACAGUUCAGUUGCGUAUAUAUUAGAGGGGAUUUGUUUUUUAGUUUAUCCAGAACAACUACUCAUUUUAAUCCAUGUCUUAUCUUUUGAAAUAAAAUAUUUCUUAUUUGCAUUACAGUUUUGUAAGAUAAUCCGUAGGGAUUAUAAGGCAGCUGCUGGUCGUAUCUGGAGGAUGUUAUAUGUCUUCGGUCAUGCUAUACUUCUAGGUAUUGCUUUUUUUCUACGGGAUCUCUUCAGAUUACAAUUAGAUACUGCUACUCCAUCAAUUAUCCAACAACGUUCAUAGGAUAUUCGUCUCGAAAUGAUUAAUCAAUGCUUGAAAAGUAUAACAGAAGACUCCUCGCUUUGAUUGAUCAGUCAAGGUAGAAGAUUCGAAGCCCACAGGGUACCAAGAAAAAUGGCCUCUAUCAACAAUACAACAUUGUCCAAGGGCAUUAAAUUUGAUGAGACUAGUUGUGAUCACUUAAAGGGCGUUAGAAGAGAAUCGUCCUAGAUUUAUACUUAUCACAGCCACUAAGGGAGGAGAAAAUCAUUUAAACUUUUAUUUGGUUGAGAUUAUCCGCAAAUAUCCUUCGUUACUUUUAUUAGUUUUCUUUUAAAUUGAAUAUAUCGCCAAAGGUUUAGCUGCUGUUUAAUAUAUUUUGGGUUGUUGGUUUGUUAAGUGGAAAUAUUAUCUCUCUACAGUUCUAUCAGAAACUGUUGAAGUACUCUAGCUGAUCAUGGAUAAAUAGGAGAGAAGGACAAUACAUCCUUUCUUCAGUUAUGGUUAAUCACUAACUCGUAGGAAUAUAUUUAAUUGGACGAAUGGGAAGACGUCUAAGUAUAUCCGCUUCUCCGAUCGCAGCUGGAUUUGCUGAAAUCUCUUUGAUUUUCUUUGUUUAUCUUCAAUGGUAAUAUUCAAUUUAUAUGGACUCAUGCAUAUUUACUUGUAUUUAUCAGGAAUUUUCUGCAUUGGUAUAGCAACUAUCAGGACUAUUUUUGAAUGGGAUACAUAAUAACUCUUACCUAUUUACAUUGUGUACUUUUGCCCGGUAGAAGUCGGCGAGUAAACGUCUAUAAAUUUAAGGAAUGAUUAGAUUAAUUACACGAGUACGUCUUCCUCUGGAGUAAUGCCUGGAAGCUUUUUACCCACAACGAUAUUUGGAGUAUACGCUACGAGAAAGUGAAAUUUUAUCCCUUCUACAAGCGGAAACCUUACACGCAAAAACCCUACGAGAUAAGCUGGAUAUUAAAAAGUGAGUUUUAUAUAUUCCUUCUCUUAAGUCUUUUCUUAUCAUCCGUCACUCUAAUAUGUCCAGAAAAAGUUGGCUUAUUACAAAAGAAAGUGAAGAGGCAAUGGAAAAGGCGAAGAAAGAAAAAGGCGAAAAAUCAAUAAGACUCGAGAAUAGUAGAAUUUUUUUUCUGUUUGUUAGAAAAAAAGUGGUACAAACCGAUUAAGAAACGUUACGAAUUAUCAUUUGAAAUUGUAUCAAUACAUUCUAUUUAGAAAUGAAUGACUUAAAUUUUAUCUAAUAGGAUUUAAAUAAGAAAAGGUUAUGCGUGGCUUAAAAACGUUUAUAGAGGAGCUUAGAUCUUGUAGGAAUGAAGAUGAGGAAAGGAUCAGAAUCUCAAAAGAGCUUGCGAAUAUUCGAAAAAAAUUUUUAAAACGCAAUAAAUCUUUGUACGAUAAACGAAAAUAUGUUUGUAAACUGGUUUAUAUUUUCCUUAAGGGUGAAAAAGUAGAUUUUGGACAAAUGGAAGCCUUAAGCCUAAUAUCGUCCACGAACUAUUCUGAUAAGAGAAUUGGUUAUUUGUUUUUAAGCACUUUUCCAAGUAGGGAAGAUUAUUUACUGCUGGCUGUUGAAUGUAUAAAAAGAGAUCUACAUAGUAAUCGUCCAGCAAUUCAAAAAUUGGCUCUAGCUUGUCUAUGUAAUAUAGGUGGACCAGAGAUGGCUGAUUUGUUUACAAAUCAGUUAGUAUCUGUCAUGAAGAACGAGGGAAAUUGUGAUUCAGUAAGACAAUCCUCUAUCCUAGGUUUGAUAAGUUUCCUUAGGGAGGGAAACAACUAUCCAGUAAUUUUAGAAAAAGAAAUACCUUACUUAUUUAUGAUUAUUGAUAAUGAUAACCUAGGAUUGGUUCAAUCUUCAGUUACACUACUCAUAUAUUUAACUAACGACAAAAAUCAAUUACAAACAAUUUCAUCAUUUCAGUAUUUAAUUAUAUCAAAAUUAGAUAAAUUAAUGAAAACUAAUAAUAAUUUCAAUCAAUAUAUGUACGGAGGUUUUUGCGCUCCAUGGUUAAUAGUUCAACUAUUCAAUUUAUUGAAUAGAAUUCAAUUAAGAGAAAAUAUUACGAAUCUUAUUGAGUAUGCAAUUGAAAAAUCUAUAGAAACGAAACCCAACGUUACGUUUAUUGAAACUAAUAUUAAAAUAUCUAUUUUCCAAGAGGCUGUUAAGGUUGAUAUAAUUUGUUCCUUUCCUGGAGAUUUUUUUAGAUGGGAUGUAAUUUGGAAAAUGAUAUUAUUUCUGCCUCGUAUUAGUCAAUUUAGCUUGAGACAAGAGCUUGUUAAUAAGAUACUGUUUGUAAUCGAUGGCGGAGAGAAAGAUGUAGAACAAUACGCCCCUGCUCUUAUGAAUCUAAUUUCGAUUGCUGGUGACGUCAUUAGCAGCUCUUGUUGGUUUAAAUUAGUAAAAUUAAUUCGGGAAAAGCCAUUUUUUCAGAAAAAGGUAGCUGCAGUCGCUUUUAACCUGCUAAAUAGGAAAUCGAACCCCAGCAGCGUACUAUUGAGAAUGUGCUCUUUUAUAAUUGGGGAAUAUGGCUACUUGAUAGCUAGUGGUCGGGAACAAAUUGACUGUCUCAGGAAUAGAUUUUAUCAAUCCGACGAAGAGACUAAGUCUAUUAUGCUGUCAGCAUUUGUCAAGAUUGCCCAACUUCAUACUAAUAUCAAAGUUGAAGUUCUAAAUAUUUUAAAUGAUGAAAUGUUAAUUAAAAAUCUUAAUACGGAAGUUCAACAGAGAGCUGUUGAGUACUAUCAGUUAAUUGCCUCCUUUCCCUCUAACUUUACAGAGAACAUUCUCCUUGAGAGGGCCAGUUCGAACUUGAUCUAUAAACCGGAAGAAUCUUUUCGACAAGUACUUAAAGUUGCAGAUAUAAGUAAAAGGUUGAAAAAGACAGAUUUUGUUCUGGAUGCCAUAAGGGAUCCAACAGUUAAGAGCAUUGAUGACUUGUACGAUAAGAGAUGGUCUGAUUUUUACCAUACAGAAAGAAUCUUAACAAUAACUACAGAUUCAUUAUCCACACUUAAAGAAAAGUUGGAUCAUCAUUGGGAAUCAUGGGUAAAACAUUCAACAGAACAUACAAUUAGAGCAGCUAGCUUAUUCGAAAAUAUUCCCAAAAAAACAACUAGUGGUUGUUUAAUAGAGUGUGAAAAAACUGCUAAGAGGACGGAUGGUAGAUGUAUAUGGAGUAUUAAGAUUCGUUGUGGUACAAUUGAAGUGUCAGAAACUGUUUCCAUAUUUAUUAACACAUUAUUUUCAAUCUAA
rnacentral:misc_RNA from 1 species